GGGGUCUGUUGGCACAGUCGGGGCGCUGCGCGCUCAGGACCCCACCUCCGGGAGAAAGCACCGCGAGGUCAUCUGUUUACCCUGGGAUUAGCGGCUCCCCGCGGGAGCCCUUUUCCUACGAGAUGAAAAGAAAGCGGACAAUCUGUCAGGACACCUGGAUUGAGCUCCCAGCUCACGAGCCUGGCGCCAGCCCAGCCUCAGCCUUUGCAGUUCCUGGAGGGGUGAUCCAGCAGAUGGAGGCACAAUCUCUCUCUUCAAAUAAAUAAUAAAUUUUUUUU